CCUAAAUGUAGAGUGCAUUUUUAGAGAUAGAAAUUCCCUUCGGGUCUUUCUGCAAGGUGCUGCAUGGUUGUCGUCAGCUCGUGCCGUGAGGUGUCGGGUUAAGUCCCAUAACGAGCGCAACCCUUAUCGUUAGUUGCCAUCUGGUAAUGCAGGGGACUCUAGCGAAACUGCCACCGUAAGGUGAGAGGAAGGUGGGAUGACGUCAAAUCAGCACGGCCCUUAUGUCCAGGGCUACACACGUGUUACAAUGGUCGGUACAGAGGGCAGCUACCUGGUGACAGGAUGCUAAUCUCGAAAACCGGUCUCAGUUCGGAUCGAAGUCUGCAACUCGACUUCGUGAAGCUGAAUUCGCUAGUAAUCGCGCAUCAGCUAUGGCGCGGUGAAUACGUUCCCGGGCCUU
rnacentral:rRNA from 1 species